rnacentral:rRNA from 1 species
AUUGAACGCUGGCGGCAGGCCUAACACAUGCAAGUCGAACGCAGUUGCGAACGGGUGAGUACCGCGUAGGAAACUGCCUCAGAGCGGGGGAUAACUCUGGGAAACGAUAGCUAAUACCGCAUACUGAGAGAUGGACCUGCGUUGUAUUAGCCAGUUGGUGAGGUAAAGGCCCACCAAGGCGACGAUACAUAGCCGACCUGAGAGGGGGAUCGGCCACACUGGGACUUAGACCCGGCCCCGACUCCUACGGUAGGCAGCCGUAGGGAAUCUUCAGCCAUGGACGGCAGUCUUACCGAGCAACGCCGCGUGAUUGAAGAAGGUUCUCCGGUCCUAAAGCUCUGUUGUUAGCGGAGCGGUAACUAACCAGAAAGGGACGGCUAACUACGUGCCAGCAGCCGCGGUAAUAC